AAGUCGUAACAAGGUUUCCGUAGGUGAACCUGCGGAAGGAUCAUUAAAAAAAUCUUUAAUAUGGAGAACCGCAAGGUUCUCUAACUAUUUUGUGAAAUGUGUAAUAGUACUGUGUGUGGUUUGUGCGUAUAUGUGCUGGUCUGUUUGAGGGUGUUAAACUCUUUUACGCGACCACACAAAUACAUUGCAUAGCUCUCUCGCUGUACUAUUUAUUUUAAUACAUGUUAUAAUUGAUGAAGUAUGUAAAUAUAGUAUUAAAGGUGGUGUAAUAGCCCUUUUAAUAUGAUAUAAUAUAUAUACAACUUUCAACAGUGGAUCUCUCGGCUCUU
rnacentral:misc_RNA from 1 species